rnacentral:rRNA from 1 species
UCGGCACAUGRGARUACGGCAGAYUUCUACGAGGCASACGUAGGGAAUUUUGGCCAUGGGCAGGCCUGAGGCAGCAACCGCGSGUGAGGGACGAGCUCCGGUUYKUAACCYUUUUUCUGGAAAGRGCMAGAACGUACUCCAGGAAWWAGUYUCGCUACUACGKGCCAGCAGCCGSGUAAAACGUAGGAGGCSAGCGUUAUCCGGAUUUACUGGGSGUAAAGCGCACGCAGGCGCUUCGUAAGUCGGGUGUGAAAGCUCCUAGCUUAACUGGGAGAGCCAUUCGAUACUGCGAGGCUUGAGGUUGGGAGAGGGGUGUGGAAUUCCCGGUGUAGUGGUGGAAUGCGUAGAUAUCGGGAGGAACACCUGUGGCGAAAGCGGCACCCUGGCCCACACCUGACGCUGAGGUGCGAAAGCGUGGGGAGUAAACAGGAUUAGAUAUCCUGGUAAUCCACGCUGUAAACGAUGUCAACUGGGUGUCGGUAGCUUUACGCUAUCGGUGCCGAAGCAAACGCGUUAAGUUGACCGCCUGGGGACUACGGCCGCAAGGCUAAAACUCAAAGGAAUUGACGGGGGCCCGCACAAGCAGCGGAGCGUGUGGUUUAAUUCGACRCAACGCGAAAAACCUUACCCACCUUUGACAUGUACGGAACUCGCCAGAGAUGGCUUGGUGCUCGAAAGAGAGCCGUAACACAGGUGCUGCAUGGCUGUCGUCAGCUYGUGUCGUGAGAUGUUGGGUUAAGUCCCGCAACGAGCGCAACCCUUGUCAUUUUGCASGRCAUUCAGUUGGGCACUCUAAUGAGAYUKCCGGKGMCAAACCGGAGGAAGGUGGGGACGACGUCAAGUCMUCAUGGCCCUUAUAGGUGGGGYUACACACGUCAUACAAUGGCUGGUACAGAGGGUUGCCAACCCGSGAGGGGGAGCUAAUCCCAUAAAACCAGUYGUAGUCCGGAUCGCAGUCCUGCAACUCGAMUGCGUGAAGUCGGAAUCGSUAGUAAUCGCGGAUCAGAAUGUCGCGGUGAAUACGUUCCCGGGUCUUGUACACACCSCCCGUCACACCAUGGGAGCGGGUUUUGCCUGAAGUAGUUAGCCUAACYSCAAGGAGGGSGAUUUACRCGGCAGGGUUCGWGACKGGGKUGAAGUCGUAACAAGGUAACCGU